CCGCCGCUUACGAUGGUUAGGUUUCCAAAUACGACGUCCUUAGGUAUUUUCGUGUCCCUCUUCAUAUUGGAGCUUAUGUUUCAUUUAAGCAUAAAUCCUAAUUCGAAUUCCUUGAUUUCUGGAUAUUUGUGAGGGACUUCAAGUUAAAUUCAAUGGGAGUUAUGUGAAUCGGGAGCCUUGGAAUCACGUUAUGAAGAGGAACUGUUGAGUUAUCAUCUACUGAAUGUGGAAUCAAGUUUUUUAUAUGAUUUGCAGAGACAAUGAUCCUGUGGCAAUGAAGCUACUUAACAAGGCUGGAGAGAUGCCCUCCCUGGAACCUCCGGAUGAUGAAAGCAUUAGGACCUUGUGGGGCUGCCCCAUGUUGGAGAAAUGCUUGUCUGGUUAUAGUUACUAGGAAGAUGGUGGAGAAGUUGUACAAGGCUCCAAAUGCUUAAUUGAGAUGCAAGAAAUCUUAAGUCUAAGAUUAACGAU